rnacentral:rRNA from 1 species
AGUGAACGCUGGCGGCAGGCCUAACACAUGCAAGUCGAACGGCAGCACAGUAAGAGCUUGCUCUUACGGGUGGCGAGUGGCGGACGGGUGAGGAAUACAUCGGAAUCUACUUUUUCGUGGGGGAUAACGUAGGGAAACUUACGCUAAUACCGCAUACGACCUACGGGUGAAAGCAGGGGAUCUUCGGACCUUGCGCGAUUGAAUGAGCCGAUGUCGGAUUAGCUAGUUGGCGGGGUAAAGGCCCACCAAGGCGACGAUCCGUAGCUGGUCUGAGAGGAUGAUCAGCCACACUGGAACUGAGACACGGUGCAGACUCCUACGGGAGGCAGCAGUGGGGAAUAUUGGACAAUGGGCGCAAGCCUGAUCCAGCCAUACCGCGUGGGUGAAGAAGGCCUUCGGGUUGUAAAGCCCUUUUGUUGGGAAAGAAAAGCAGCAGGUUAAUACCCCGCUGUUCUGACGGUACCCAAAGAAUAAGCACCGGCUAACUUCGUG